CCUACGGGAGGCAGCAGUGAGGAAUAUUGGUCAAUGGGCGUAAGCCUGAACCAGCCAAGUCGCGUGAGGGAUGAAGGUUCUAUGGAUCGUAAACCUCUUUUAUAAGGGAAUAAAGUGCGGGACGUGUCCCGUUUAGUAUGUACCUCAUGAAUAAGGAUCGGCUAACUCCGUGCCAGAAGCCGCGGUAAUACGGAGGAUCCGAGCGUUAUCCGGAUUUAUUGGGUUUAAAGGGGGCGUAGGCGGCCUUUUAAGUCAGCGGUGAAAGUAUGUGGCUCAACCAUAGAAUUGCCGUUGAAACUGGGGGGCUUGAGUAUGUUUGAGGCAGGCGGAAUGCGUGGUGUAGCGGUGAAAUGCUUAGAUAUCACGCAGAACCCCGAUUGCGAAGGCAGCCUGCCAAGCCAUGACUGACGCUGAUGCUCGAAAGCGUGGGGAUCAAACAGGAGUAGAUACCCCUGUAGUC
rnacentral:rRNA from 1 species